AUAUAUAUAAAUUUAAUUUUAUAAAUUUAUUAUUAAUUUAUUUUACAUAUAAGUUUUAGUAUAUAAUUUUAAUUAUUUUAAAAAUAAUUAAUUUAAUUUUAGUAGUAAUUAAUAUUAAAAAUUUAAGAAAUUAAGAUUUAGUAAUAUAAAAAUUAAUAACUAAUUUUGUGCCAGCAGUUGCGGUUAAACAAAAGUUAAAUUAAAUUAUUUCAGUAUAUAAUAAAUAAUUAAAUUAUUAAAGUAAAUAUUAAAUUAUUAAGUGAAAUUUUAAUUUAAUUAAAUUUUAUUUAAAAAUUAUGAUUUAAUAAAUUUUAAUAUAAACUAGGAUUAGAUACCCUAUUAUUAAAAAUUUAAUUUAUAAUACUAAAAUAGUAAAUAAUAAUUUAUUGAAACUUAAAUAACAUGGCGGUAUUUUAGUUCAUUUAGAGGAAUCUGUCUAAUAAUUGAUAAUCCACGAAUAAAUUUACUUAAUUUAUAAUUUUGUAUAUCAUUGUUAAAAAAAUAUUUUUAAGGAAAAAUAAUAUUUAAUAUUUAAAAUUAAAAGUUAAAUCAGAUCAAGAUGCAGAAUAUAAUUAAGAAUAUGAUGGAUUACAAUAAUUAUAAUUAAAUGAAUAAUUUUUUUUUUGUAAUAAAAAUUUGAAGGUGGAUUUAAAUGUAAUUUUAAUUAAUUUAUUAAAAUGAUUAAAAAUUAAAAUAUGUACAUAUUGCCCGUCACUUUCAUUUAAAAAUUGAAAUAAGUCGUAACAAAGUAGAGGUACUGGAAAGUGUUUCUAGAAAGA
rnacentral:ncRNA from 1 species